GGCCUUGACAUACUAAGAACUUUCCAGAGAUUGGAUUGGUGCCUUCGGGAACUUAGAUACAGGUGCUGCAUGGCUGUCGUCAGCUCGUGUCGUGAGAUGUUGGUUAAGUCCCGNAACGAGCGCAACCUUUUCCUAUUUGCCAGCGGGUCAUGCCGGGAACUUUAAGGAUACUGCCAGUGACAAACUGGAGGAAGGCGGGGACGACGUCAAGUCAUCAUGGCCCUUACGGCCAGGGCUACACACGUGCUACAAUGGUCGGUACAAAGGGUUGCUACCUCGCGAGAGGAUGCUAAUCUCAAAAAGCCGAUCGUAGUCCGGAUCGCAGUCUGCAACUCGACUGCGUGAAGUCGGAAUCGCUAGUAAUCGCGGAUCAGAAUGCCGCGGUGAAUACGUUCCCGGGCCUUGUACACACCGCCCGUCACACCAUGGGAGUUUGUUGCACCAGAAGUAGGUAGUCUAACCGCAAGGAGGACGCUUACCACGGUGUGGCCGAUGACUGGGGUGAAGUCGUAACAAGGUAGGCGUAGAUGA
rnacentral:rRNA from 1 species